GUUUCAAAAACCACAAAACAACAACAACGUCCGGAACCUCUACUGCACUGACAUUCUCAAAGCCACUAGUUAGCAAACUAAGCUGGCAUCAUUUCUACAUUCAGAAGUAGGAACACUGAAGUUUAGAAGCUCCCCCAGCAAGCCGUAUGCCAAGGAGCCUUUCCUCCAGCCCCGAUAGCAAGCGAGAGCCACGUUUCCCUGCCCGAGUUUGGAGUUUUGAGCAAACUGAGCCCCCAAGCCCAACUUCCACCCGUGUCCGGUCCGGGUUCGGCACGCAAGUUACCUGCCUGGAAUCCACGGUUCCAGGACGACCACGGACGCUCCGCCCCGCCCAUCGCGACGCCCUCCACAACCAGACACUUUUAUGAGCAGCUUUUCUCCUCAAAUGUCAGCCAACUUCCCUGUGAAGU